AGGCAACCUGCCUUUCAGUUUGGGAUAACUUCCGGAAACGGAUGCUAAUACCGAAUACAUCAUCUUCUGGCAUCGGAGGAUGAGGAAAGACGGCGCAAGCUGUCACUGAGAGAUGGGCCUGCGGCGCAUUAGCUAGUUGGUGGGGUAACGGCUCACCAAGGCGACGAUGCGUAGCCGACCUGAGAGGGUGAACGGCCACACUGGGACUGAGACACGGCCCAGACUCCUACGGGAGGCAGCAGUAGGGAAUCUUCCACAAUGGGCGAAAGCCUGAUGGAGCAAUGCCGCGUGAGUGAUGAAGGUUUUCGGAUCGUAAAGCUCUGUUGCCAGGGAAGAACGUCCGGGUGAGUAACUGCACCCGGAGUGACGGUACCUGAGAAGAAAGCCCCGGCUAACUACGUGCCAGCAGCCGCGGUAAUACGUAGGAGGCAAGCGUUGUCCGGAAUUAUUGGGCGUAAAGCGCGUGCAGGCGGCUUGUUAAGUCGGAUGUUUAAGAUCGGGGCUCAACCUCGAUUCGCAUCCGAAACUGGCAAGCUUGAGUGUAGGAGAGGAAAGUGGAAUUCCACGU
rnacentral:rRNA from 1 species